UAAAUGAGAAGUGGAAAUGACCUGCUAUAAAAUGCAGAGCUCCGCCAAAAACUAGGGUUUGGGGCGAAACGAACAACUCAGACAACAAAGAAACAAGGCAUCAGAAGGAAGGGAUGUUUAUAAGGGUGGUUACCCGCUUCUGUAGCCCAUGAUCUUUGAUUUCCCUCUAUUAUCAACAACCCUUUUCGAUCCUCAAAGCAUUUUCCCUAUAUAUAUAUAUACAGAGUGGAUUACAGAUAUCAUACGCUUGAUCUACAAUCUCUGUGGUUUGGACCAAUGUCUGUUUCUUCGUGUUUCUUUUUUCUUUUCUUAACAGUUUCCUUUUGAUUAUGUUCUUCAAACAAUCAAAAGCAAGAAACUACAUUCAACCCUAAAACAUCGAAACCCUAAAUCAGAGGCGAUGAUGAAGAAAUUUUCGUUGUCUGAGUAAAUCGGACGAAGUUUGAGACUUACCGUAUCUUGGCGGGGUAAUUUCUGGAGGCUUGUGAUGGAAUUUCCACCAUUAAAGCAGCCGAGAUGUUUGCAGCCAUGGCGGUUUGUUCCUCUUUGCUCUGAUUAUUAACAUAUCUGAGCCUCGUUACUUUAUUUCUCUCAUUUUCACAUUCAUUUUGCACGAUAGCCCCCAUCUCUUAAAUCUGGGAUUUCGAUAUUUCGCUUUAAGUAAGCUUUUUUACUAUUUAUGGUGUUAAACUUUUUAUUUGGAUUCUGCAAAAUCUUUUCAAUGGUGUGAGAGGAGCAUGGUGACCAAUCUAAAUAUGGAUAUAUAUUUUCUUAUCUCACAGAAAAAGAAAAAAAAACAAACAUAGUGAGUCGCUCAUUAAUCAUCUGUGAUUUUAAUUUAAAGAACCUGAACUUUUCUGAAAGUGAUUUGGCAGCAUUUGCCUUAAAUUUGCAAAAUGCAUUGCAAUUUUUAAAUGUUACCUUCAACUAAAUCUUAGAAUUUAGUUAUUUUUUUUAUUAAUUUUUAAUUUUAAAAAAAGUCAAUACAUGUUGACUUGGAAUUGGGCAAAAUCAAGCAACAGACGAAAUUUGGGUUAUCUUUUUGAAUCCUUUUUGUUCCCAAAUUAGGUGCGAAAAUACUCAAGUAGAAUAAUAACCGGUAACAGGAAUAUAAUAAUAAAUUUAAAUAUUUCUAGAUAAAUACAUUAAAGACAUCAAAGUUUGACAACAUUUUUUGUUUAUCAUGAAUAAAAAAUCUUGUUAAAGUUUAAUGGAUUGUUUUUCUUUUAGUUAUUCUGAAAAUUUGAGCUGUCAAGUGCUAAUUUCAUGUUCAUCUAUAUUUUUUAAAAUUAUGGAUCGUAUGAAAUUUUGGUUUAAAAUUCAUUUUAUAUGUGUUCUUGGCCUCAAAAUCUUUUGCAAGCUAUACCCUUGAUCUUUUUUUUUUGUCCUCUUGUUAGUAGUUUUAGUUGUGAGUUCAAUCAUCAAUGUUCAAUUAUUUAAUGUUGGAGGAUUCUUAUAGGUUCAUUAGGGUUUCCGGACUUGUGAGUCACAACAUUCAUAUUGUGAGGUUGAUCAAAUAGUCGAACUCUAUCCUUGUACCUUAAUCUUUGCCUAUAGAUGAUACUGCUAAAGGCAGACUACUUCAACUUCAUAAACAUAAUAUGACCAAAUUUUGGGACCAAUCUGCCUGGUUCCUUAACACAAGCAAAAAAAAAAAAAAAGAACUUAUUUUCUAGUUCAAAACUCUUAACGAACAAAGAACAUGUUCCAAAACUUUAAAAAUGUACAUUUUCCUUAUAUGGGUCUUAAAAAACAUGUAUGGCCUCUUUUAGGAAACAAUACAUCCAAUAAAAAUUGUUAUAAACAAGAACAUGGUCAAAACUCAUAGUAACUUAGGAAUAACCGAAUAAGUCCGAAUCUCAUAAGGUAUAUCUCUUUUGUUUCGUUAAAGUUUAUGUUGUUGGUUUGGACUUGUUACUUUGUUACUUUUUUGUUGUUAUUCUUGUGUUCAUAAAAUUUAUGAGGUUGCGACAAAGGAGGUGAAGCUGGGGACGAGAUGCUUUUUAGCACUCUUUGACCAACCUUGGUACUGGGAGGACACCUUGUUAGAAAUUGUGUAAUACAAUAGUAUAAUUAUGUAUAUAUUACAGAAAACGAAUUGAAAAUACUAUCAAUAAACAUAGACAAAAAACUUACAAAAAGAAAUUACUAAUUGUAAUCAAGAUAGAGGCUUGCAAAGCAAUGUUCUAAAACAUAAAUCCGUCCCUAUUAGUGCAAUAAGAUACAACUAUCUUUGAUCAAAUUCUUGCACUAGAACUUGAUUUCUGAACUUGGGUAAUGAAUCUACUGUAUGUAUUCAUGAAAUUUGAGAGAAAAUUUUGAUAUGUGUUUUCUGGUCGUUCAUUCAAGAGUACUAACAAAUCGGAUUUGACUUCUUUGUGAACAUUUGAAAUACUUAAUUACCUUGAGUAACGAAUUCUACAACCAUGACACCAACACACCUAAAUGAUUGAAGGAAUAUGAGAAUUUGACUUAUUAAGGUUUUGAGUGAUGUGCCAUUUAUGUGGCAUUGAGAAGUGUUUACAUUAUAAGAAGGGUGAGAUACGAGUGCUUAUUAAUUAAAACCCUAGAUCGAUCGAUGGUAUCUUCUUCCUCAUCCUUUUCUUCCAAACGACAAGACGAAUUGCAACCGAAUCAUCCAUGUGAUUGCGACUUGCCAUCUCGUGUGAAGACAUCAAGAACCCCAGACAAUCCUGGAAGGAAAUUCAGAGUUUGUCAAAACUCACUGAAUAGAAAAAGUCCAAGCUGUAAAUUUUGGUAAUGGUUGGAUGAGGAUGAAGGGAGGAAAGAUGGAAGAGGGCAUUACAGGAUGAAAGCAGAAGAAAGCUGCAAUCUUACCUUGAAAAUUUGUACCUUGGAGAAUGAAAUCAGCAUAUGCAUGAUGAAAAUUGAAGAAGAGAAGAACAGGAAUAAACAAGAACUUGACAAAGUCAAUUGGAAAUUAUUUACCCGUAGACUUGCAUUAAUUUUCUUGUUUCUCUUGUAUGUCAAAAUGUUGUUUUAAAUUAUGUAUUAUGAUGUAGUAUGACUAAAUUAUGUAUGCUUUUGUGAUGUUUUCAAUGAAAAAGGUUAUAUUCUAUCA